rnacentral:tRNA from 1 species
GAUGGUAUAGCUCAAGUAGUAAAGCACAUGCUUAGCAUGCACGAGGUCCUGAGUUCAAUCCCCAGUGCCUCCA